GACGAACGCUGGCGGCGUGCCUAAUACAUGCAAGUAGAACGCUGAAGGAGGAGCUUGCUUCUCUGGAUGAGUUGCGAACGGGUGAGUAACGCGUAGGUAACCUGCCUGGUAGCGGGGGAUAACUAUUGGAAACGAUAGCUAAUACCGCAUAAUAGUAGAUGUCGCAUGACAUUUGCUUAAAAGGUGCAAUUGCAUCACUACCAGAUGGACCUGCGUUGUAUUAGCUAGUUGGUGAGGUAACGGCUCACCAAGGCAACGAUACAUAGCCGACCUGAGAGGGUGAUCGGCCACACUGGGACUGAGACACGGCCCAGACUCCUACGGGAGGCAGCAGUAGGGAAUCUUCGGCAAUGGACGGAAGUCUGACCGAGCAACGCCGCGGGAGUGAAGAAGGUUGUCGGAUCGUAAAGCUCUGUUGUAAGAGAAGAACGAGUGUGAGAGUGGAAAGUUCACACUGCGACGGUAGCUUACCAGAAAGGGACGGCUAACUACGUG
rnacentral:rRNA from 1 species